rnacentral:rRNA from 1 species
UACGGAGGAUGCGAGCGUUAUCCGGAUUUAUUGGGUUUAAAGGGUGCGUAGGCGGCCGAGUAAGUCAGCGGUGAAAUUUUGCAGCUUAACUGUAACAGUGCCGUUGAUACUGCAUGGCUAGGAUUUGGUUGCUGUGGGUGGAAUGCGUGGUGUAGCGGUGAAAUGCUUGGAUAUCACACAGAAUAUCAAUUGCGAAGGCAGCUCACAAAGCCAAGAUUGACGCUGAGGCACGAAAGUGUGGGGAUCAAA